AGCAGCCGCGGUAACUCCAGCUCCAAUAGCGUAUAUUAAAGUUGUUGCAGUUAAAAAGCUCGUAGUUGAAUUUCGGGGUCAGUAGGCUGGUCGUGCCACGGGUAUGUACUGGUCUUACUGAUUCCUCCUUCCUGAUGAACCGUAAUGCCAUUAAUUUGGUGUUGCGGGGAAUCUGGACUGUUACUUUGAAAAAAUUAGAGUGUUUAAAGCAGGCUAACGCUUGAAUACAUUAGCAUGGAAUAAUGAAAUAGGACGAUCGAUCCUAUUUUGUUGGUUUCUAGGAUUGACGUAAUGAUUAAUAGGGAUAGUUGGGGGCAUUAGUAUUCAAUUGUCAGAGGUGAAAUUCUUGGAUUUAUUGAAGACUAACUACUGCGAAAGCAUUUGCCAAGGAUGUUUUCAUUAAUCAAGAACGAAAGUUAGGGGAUCGAAGACGAUCAGAUACCGUCGUAG
rnacentral:rRNA from 1 species